rnacentral:sRNA from 1 species
CUGCUGUGGACAUAUCAUGUGGAUAUGACUGUCUAUUCCACCUGCAGUUGCGAUGAGAUGCUCACCUGCAAUUACUUCCGUUCCAGGCCCUAUAAUAAGGUCUGGGUGAACACCGCUCAUAAUAUCCGGAUUACCCGCCUUUCCUAUACCUGUAAUCUUACCAUCUUUGACUCCAACAUCUCCUAUUACUACUCCCUGGACCGGAUCAAUAAUAAUUACGUUAGUUAUAACAAGGUCUAAUGCUCCAUUUUUAUUGGUUUGGGUACUUUGUCCCAUUCCUUCCCG